UCCGUACCUACACAGAAAAUCGAAGUAAUAUACACCUCAAUCACAGUUAUGCUCAAUAAUAAAAUCGAGUGGACCUGAUGAUAGAGGAUGCUUUAGAUCUGAGAUUUUUCAACCCAGAUAUCCAAAGCAGAUAGCAGUGGGAUCAAUCCCUGAAAUCGAGUCUUAGCACUUGCUGGAUUUUCGAUGUUAAUUGUUCCAGUAGAGAGCUCGAUCCGGCAGUUCGACGGUGACCAGUUGGCAGAUUUCAGAGUUUCCGAUGAUAUGGGAUGAGAUGACGGCUGGGUUGCAGGAUUGUUGGAGGGAUGAUUAAUUAGGGUGUGGAAUUUGAUGUGGAAAUUGUGAAAUGAUUUAUUACCUUGAAACAGAGUUUUUACAGCAAUAU
rnacentral:lncRNA from 1 species